rnacentral:rRNA from 1 species
UACGUAGGGUGCGAGCGUUAAUCGGAAUUACUGGGCGUAAAGGGAGCGUAGGCGGACAUUUAAGUCAGAGGUGAAAUCCCAGAGCUCAACUCUGGAACUGCCUUUGAUACUGGAUGUCUUGAGUGUGAGAGAGGUAUGUGGAACUCCGAGUGUAGAGGUGAAAUUCGUAGAUAUUCGGAAGAACACCAGUGGCGAAGGCGACAUACUGGCUCAUUACUGACGCUGAGGCUCGAAAGCGUGGGGAGCAAACAGG